GUAAGAAAGGACGUACAAGACGUGCGCGCGGGCCUAGCAUAUCAAGGUAAAGAGCUUGGCACACUCGUGUCUGCUCUUUGCCUGUCAAAUAAAUUCACUAUUGAUCCAAUGGAACGUACGAAUGUCCCGUAGUUAUUGUCCCAUUAAUCGAGUUAUAAUUAAUCAAAUAAAAGUGCACGUGUGUGUCGUUACACGUGUGUGUUGUAUCAAUGUUUAUAGUGUUAAGUGAAAUUUGAGUGUUCCUUACAAGAACAAUGUGUGUGACAACGCCACUAAGCGCCACUAAGAUACUCAAGGAUACAUCGCGUGGGACUGUUACGAGAACUAUUUCGACAACGUCGGUCCCUUUAACAUCACCAACAACCGCAAUAACAAUGAUGGCACCUGGCAAUGGCGUUGACUCGAGGCCCCAACACACCUCUAUCAUGAUGGUGCGCAUGAUCGGUGAUGAAUUUCUCACCGAAGAAAGAGAUAGAAAAUAUUACGCUGAUCGCUAUACAUGUUGUCCACCUCCGCUUUUUAUUAUCCUCAUUACCCUAGUCGAGUUGGGCUUCUUUACGUACUACACAGUUGCUAUGGGUGAGGUAAAUCCUUCAGGACCGGUUCCAAUAGACAGUGUAUUUAUUUAUCGACCAGAUAAGCGAUUGGAACUUUGGAGGUUUGCUUUCUACAUGUUUCUUCAUGCAGGAUGGCUACACCUGCUAUUUAACCUAGGGGUACAGGUGGUCGUGGGACUUCCCCUUGAAAUGGUUCAUGGGAGUUUGAGGAUCGCAGCAGUUUACAUGGCUGGCGUUCUAGCUGGUUCACUAGGCACGUCAGUUUUUGACACGGAUGUCUAUCUAGUUGGUGCAAGUGGAGGAGUUUAUGCACUUUUAGCAGCCCAUCUUGCAAAUGUCUUGUUGAAUUACAAUAAUAUGGAGUUUGGAAUCGUUCGGCUGAUUGGAAUAUUUACUAUUGCCAGUGCAGACGUGGGUUUCGCUAUCUACGACAGGUACGCGGCUGAGCAAAUGGGCCCACCUGUCUCGUACGUGGCACACCUGACGGGGGCUCUGGCCGGACUCACCAUUGGUCUACUCGUGCUCAAGAACUUUGAGCAACGAUUGCAUGAACAGUUACUCUGGUGGGUUGCCCUGGGUGUCUAUGCUGCUUGCACCAUCUUCGCGAUCAUGUACAACCUCAUGCAUCCAGACUAUCCAUGACGUGAGGUCAGCUUCGCGUAUGGUGUACCUAGGAACACGUAACGCGAAGCUGCUCUACAGGAUCUUAUUUCCACGUCGUCAUUGAUUACCUCCGAGGUCUUGGAAAUUACUAAAGGCACGAGGAUGAUGCCAAAUAGCGAAAAAUGUGGAGAAAGGUGAUAUGAAGAGGCCAGGGAAUAACGUACCAAAGACACUAAUCCAAGGAGACAAGAAAAUCAAUUAAAGGAUGAAAAGAUUGUCGAGCGUGAAAAGCAAGUAAUGAUGAAGAAAAAAAGAGUUGUUGGAUAGUCUGCAGGCUGGACCAGUUGACUGACAAGCAUUUCUUUUCUAACAACGAUUCAGGUGAAAAACAUGUAUAGUGGGUUGAUCGAAAUAGAGUCUCAUUGCACCAGACGUCAGGAACAUCCUUGAGGAAAAAGAAGAAAAGACUUUUCUUGACUGGGAAGUGAAUAAAUCUACAAGAGCAAGAAGAAUAGCGAGGAACAGUGCAUAUACAAGUUCGGACUGGAGGAGAAUCACUAAAGGCAAAGGAACUCUUAGAGGACAGGUGGUUUUGGUCCCUUGAAUAUACACCGCUCGAUAACACAAGACUGAAUAUCUUUUGAAUUAAUUUAAUUGGCAUGAAGGAAUGAUAUAUGAAAAAUUGUCAAGUAACAAUCGUUACUCAUCUACAUACGUUCUACUGCAUU
rnacentral:misc_RNA from 1 species